AUUGAACGCUGGCGGCACGCCUAACACAUGCAAGUCGAGCGGUAGCAGGACUAGUAGCAAUACUAGUUGCUGACGAGCGGCGGACGGGUGAGUAACACGUAGGAAUCUACCCUCAAGCGGGGGACAACCAAGGGAAACUUUGGCUAAUACCGCGUAAUCUCGAGAGAGCAAAGCUGCCGUAAGGUGGCGCUUGAGGAGGAGCCUGCGUCCGAUUAGCUAGUUGGUGAGGUAAUGGCUCAACAAGGCGAUGAUCGGUAACUGGUCUGAGAGGACGACCAGUCACACUGGGACUGAGACACGGCCCAGACUCCUACGGGAGGCAGCAGUGGGGAAUAUUGGACAAUGGGGGCAACCCUGAUCCAGCGAUGCCGCGUGGGUGAAGAAGGCCUUCGGGUUGUAAAGCCCUUUAGGUUGGGAAGAAGGUUACGAGGGGAUAAUACUUGUAAUUUGACGGUACCAACAGAAUAAGCACCGGCAAACUCUGUGCCAGCCGCCGCCGUAAAAC
rnacentral:rRNA from 1 species